rnacentral:rRNA from 1 species
CAUAGAACAUUGGAACCACCAGAUCCCAUCCCGAACUCAGCAGUGAAACGAUGUCUCGCCGAUGGUAGUGGGGGGUUUCCCCAUGUGAGAGUAGGUCAUCGUCAAGA